UGAGUAAUACAUAAGUAACCCGCCCUAGACAGGGGGAUAACUAUUGGAAACGAUAGCUAAGACCGCAUAGGUACGGACACUGCAUGGUGACCGUAUUAAAAGUGCCUCAAAGCACUGGUAGAGGAUGGACUUAUGGCGCAUUAGCUGGUUGGCGGGGUAACGGCCCACCAAGGCGACGAUGCGUAGCCGACCUGAGAGGGUGACCGGCCACACUGGGACUGAGACACGGCCCAGACUCCUACGGGAGGCAGCAUG
rnacentral:rRNA from 1 species